UACAGAGGGUGCGAGCGUUAAUCGGAAUUACUGGGCGUAAAGCGCACGUAGGCGGCUUGGUAUGUCGGGUGUGAAAUCCCCGGGCUCAACCUGGGAACUGCAUCCGAAACUGCCUUGCUAGAGUAUGGGAGAGGGAAGUGGAAUUUCCGGUGUAGCGGUGAAAUGCGUAGAUAUCGGAAGGAACAUCAGUGGCGAAGGCGACUUCCUGGACCAAUACUGACGCUCAGGUGCGAAAGCGUGGGGAGCAAACGGG
rnacentral:rRNA from 1 species